UACGUAGGGUGCAAGCGUUGUCCGGAUUUAUUGGGUUUAAAGGGUGCGUAGGUGGCUUUUUAAGUCAUGGGUGAAAGCCCACAGCUCAACUGUGGAAUUGCCUGUGAUACUGAGGAGCUUGAGAGCGGUUGAGGCAGAUGGAAUUGGUGGUGUAGCGGUGAAAUGCAUAGAUACCACCAGGAACACCGAUUGCGAAGGCAGGUUGCUAAGCCGUAACUGACACUGAGGUACGAAAGCGUGGCGAGCAAACAGG
rnacentral:rRNA from 1 species